ACAGAAGGGAAGAUGGAACCGCCAUUUUGGACAUGAUUGGCACAAGUACUGGCAUCCAUGUCUGCAGCUCGAUUUUACAGACUGCUCUUUAUUAGAAAGGAAAGUUAUUUGGGGCUGCUUUUCAUUAAAAGGAAAACCUUGCCAAGGACUUCUGUACCCUCAAUAUCUGGAUAAUUUUUAAACACAUGGGAGAAGCCUUAGGAGGGAUGUCCUGGAGAAUACACCUAGCCUUUCAAACACAAUAAUUGUGGACCCAAACAGUGAAAUCCCAGGAACUUUAGAGCUGAGAGACUUUCUUCUGAGGAAGCCACAUGGUCUUCAUAUGAGCAAGUGUGUGUAGAUGGAUAAUGAUGAUAAUGAUGAUGGUAAUGGACGUUGGUUAUACACUUACUGUGUGCCAAGGACUAAAUGGUAAACGUGUCUCAGCAAAGUAGCUGUCUCUCCAGCACUCAUUCUUACCUUCAUCUAAAGGAAUAGCAUUUUUAGGUGGUUCAUGGCUGGACAGAAUAAAACUUUCAUUUUCUUACCUCUUCUCUGACUGAUAAAGUCACAUGACUAAUUUCUAGUCAAUGAGGUAUUACUACAGGUGUCCUAUGGCUGCUUUCUGGAAACUUCCUUAAAAGACAGUGCAAAGUUAGUUACUCUUCAGUUCUUUGUCAUGCUUUUCCUCCCUUCCAUUACUUGGAGCAUUGGUUAGAUGACUGGAGAGCCAUCUUGGACCACGAAAAUUAAAGGAUGAUUUUUAGUGAUAAGGAAGGCAGCCAGGACUCUGAGGAUCCUACAGAGCAGAGCUGUCCUACAGGCCCCAGACAAUUGGCCUUUGGGCUUUUACAUGAAAGAGAUGUAAACAUCUAUCAGAUUUAACUAACUGUGAUUGCAGAUUUCCUGCCCCUUGGAGAUAAGCCUAGGUUUUACUAAUUCUUAUUCAGCCCUCACAGCAACCCAGCAAAGGAAGUUACUGCUGUAAUUCCCAUUUUACAGAUGAGAAAAGUGAAGCACAAAAAAG
rnacentral:lncRNA from 10 species